UCUGAAGAACGGAUGUCGUGCCAAACAGAUGAAGAGAAAAUCCACUGAACGGGUGGAGCAGAAAGAUGGAUGUUUAUUUAGGAGAUGUUACUGUUCUGAUUCAGGAUCCCGUUUUCUUUUCCUUAUUUUCUUUUCAGUAUGAGGUGUUUUCAAGAAAGGACAGCUAAUUCUGAAAAAUGGUAAAAAUCAAGCCAAACGCAUGAAUGUGAGCAGACAUCUGAGCUAAUGUCUAGGAUCAGGAGCCUUUUCUGUGGGCAUGCUGCUCCUAAAUCAGAUGACCUUGGCACCGGGACACAGCCGACAGUCUCAGAGCAAAAGAGCCAUCCGUCACACUGCAGACAGUCUGCCUGUCACUCAUGUCUCUGAAAACCCAGAAUGAUGUCUCAGGGAGCCAUAUGGAGAUGAGAUCCAUUAUUUACUCCAAGAGGAGUUGUGAUUCAUGGGUUAGUGAUGUGAGUUAAUGAAUCUUGAAUGAGACGGACCUCCUGUAUGGCAGCCGCCCUCCUCACUGAGCGUUUUUGUGAAAGUUUCAAGGUCCGUCUGAGAGAGCAAAUCCUCCUCGGUGAUCGUUCGAAGGUGCCCAAGGUGUCUGUCGGCUUUGUGCACAAAAGAGGGAAGUGAACACAUUCCAUAGUGGUGAAACAAAGCUGUUUUCCAAACCACUGAAAGUGUUUACAGAUGUGCAGUCAAAUUUUACAUCUUGAAAGUCAUCUCAGCACCAAUGACUCUUAAAUAUAUAACAUUAAAAACUGCUGCAAUUCUGUCAGCGAGCACAAAAGGCUUUUCAAGAGAAUAAAACACACACACACAAACACUAACUUAACUUGAUGAAAUGUAAAUCUCUGUGACACAGCAAUGUUCAUUUGUGGCGUUUUCUUAGGCACUGAGAGGGGGAGGAAAAUAAUCAUAGCACAUGUCCUCAGACUCGCAGACUUGUGCAUGGAGACCAGAUGCUGCUCCAGCGGGACUGUGUCUGGAAUCGGCCUGCUGGGAAUUGGUUAGUCAAUCCCAGACGCAGAGGCCUCGUUUACACCUGGUACUGACACCGGCUGAUCUGAACACAACUGGCUUAAUACAGUUCUGUCAUGACAACUC